rnacentral:rRNA from 1 species
GACGAACGCUGGCGGCGUGCCUAAUACAUGCAAGUUGAGCGCUGAAGGUUGGUACUUGUACCAACUGGAUGAGCAGCGAACGGGUGAGUAACGCGUGGGGAAUCUGCCUUUGAGCGGGGGACAACAUUGGGAAACGAAUGCUAAUACCGCAUAAAAACUUUAAACACAAGUUUUAAGUUUGAAAGAUGCAAUUGCAUCACUCAAAGAUGAUCCCGCGUUGUAUUAGCUAGUUGGUGAGGUAAAGGCUCACCAAGGCGAUGAUACAUAGCCGACCUGAUAGGGUGGUCGGCCCCAUUGGGACUGUGACACGGCCCAAACUCCUUCGGGAGGCAGCAGUAGGGAAUCUUCGGCAAUGGACGAAAGUCUGACCGAGCAACGCCGCGUGAGUGAAGAAGGUUUUCGGAUCGUAAAACUCUGUUGGUAGAGAAGAACGUUGGUGAGAGUGGAAAGCUCAUCAAGUGACGGUAACUACCCAGAAAGGGACGGCUAACUACGUG